rnacentral:lncRNA from 1 species
ACAAGAUUGCUGUGGCUGUGCAGGCUUGAAUGGUUCUCUGUGUCCUGCUCUGAGAUCUGCUGUCGGGUGCAUUGAGGGGACCUCAGGAAGUUCUGAGAUUUAGACAUGGAGGAGGUCCCCUCGAGAUCCUCGAAUAACUGGACCUGCUGGAUGGGUCAAGUGGCGCCCAACGUGGGGCACGAGGUACGACUGCCCUCCGGACAACGGAUUAAGGAUUAAAGAGGUACCGCGCAGACAGAAACAGUGGGACAGUCCACCGACACUUCACUCGAGUGUCGAGUACGGACGUCGGGAGAUUCACACUGCUCUAGCAUCGCCCUAUACUGGGGCAUCAAGCCUCCACAGGACCAAGGGCCUCCUCUCCCACUGAUGCCAGAUGAAGCCAUCCUCUGCUACAUAUAGAGCUGAAGCCAUGCAUCUCUCCAUGCAUACUCUUUGUUACACCCCACCGUGUGACUCCUGACCCAAAGACACCCCAACCCUGCCCAAGCUCUGCUCCUCGGCGCCCCAUUCAGCUCACAACCUGAGCGAGGCCUUUUGAUGAUGAUGGGACACAGAGUGGUAUCAAACUCAGGGCAUUGGACAUGUAAGGCAAACAACAAUCACAAUUCUACUGUUCAGAGUUCUAUGAAACAGAAGAAUAUCAUUGAGAAGAUACGAGUUUUCUCUGGUAAUGUUUUUUGCUACUGAUGAGAUCAACAAGAAUCCUUAUCAUUUACCCAACACGUCUUUGCUAUUCUCCUUCAUGGAUGGCCUGUGUGAGGAUAAAUUGGGAUUCUGGAAUUUGGAUCACAACCUCACAAUGGGAUGUCAUCACAAUUAAAAGAGAUUUCAACCUUGAUUUCUUCAUGGGACUGUCACUUUUGCACACCACAAAGCACAUCGGAAUGGACAGCAUUGCACAAAUGUGACAUGGCCCUAAGUGAAGAUUGUUACAGUCUGUAUAAAGCUGUGUAUGUUGUGGUCCACACCUACCAUGAACUCAUGCUUCAACAAGUAGAGUCUCAGAAAAUAGCAGAACCCAAAAGAUUAUUCACUGACUGUCAGCAGAUGGUUUCCUUGCUGAAAGCCCAGGUAUUUACUAACCCUGAUGGAGAACUGGUGAACAUGAAUCAUAGGGAAUAUCAGUGUGUAGAGUAUGACAUUUGUAUCAUUUGGAAUUUUCGACAAGGCCUUGGAUUAAAAGUGAAAAUAGGAAGCUAUUUUCCUUGUUUCCCACAGACCCAACAACUUCUUAUAUCUGAAGACCUGGAGUGGGCCACAGGAGGAACAUCAGUUCCCUUCUCCAUGUGUAGUGUGGCAUGUACUGCUGGAUUCAGGAAAAUUCAUCAGGAAGAAACAGCAGACUGCUGCUUUGAUUGUGUUCAGUGCCCAGAAAAUGAGGUUUCCAAUGAAACAGGUACAUGCUUGCAUGCAGAAGAAAAAUUGCUAAAUUUGAAUGUGUUCUCUUUCCAAACAAGAAAUAUAUGGUCUAGAUGAAAAUUGAAGACCUAAAAUCUUGAUGUUUCAGUACUUAAUCAGUUAAAUAAUAUCAACUGCUUUUGGACCCAGCAAAUAGCCUGCAAUAUCUUCUUCAAACAAUGUAUUUCUCUCACAAUAUGAUGGUUACUGAUUUUAUGUUACAUAGAAAAUGUUUAGGGGGAUAUAUACAUGUAACAAAUUUUUAAACAAAAAUUUUAGGCAUAAUCUAUGCAUACAUUUAUUUUUCUUUGAUCCUUUAUACAAAACAACUUCACUACAUGAUCAGUCCAUAAUCUUUUUCUCCAGUACCCAGCUUAGUACCUGACAAAGACCAGAUGUUCAGGGUAGCAGUUGUUGUUUAAUGAAAUAUAUUUUAAGAGCUUAGAUGGUUUAAAGGAUUAAGAAUUUCCUGUGAAAGACUUAGAACAAGAGUGAAGAUUUCCAGAAUGUAACAAGAGAUGGGACAGUGCUUAUCAUCAAUCACAGCCAACCUAAGGAAAGAGGGAUGAAUGUGAAUUUCAAUAGCCUUCGUGACCUACAGCUUGGAAUGUAUAGCUGGGAAGAAAGAGAUUGUGCCACAAUGAGAGGGACAUUCAUAUGUCUAUGAGGCAUACAGUUUCAAGAAUGAAAAUAUUCCUUUAUGCAAACUGUAUUUGCAUGAGAAAUUAAAUGUUCUAGCUCCUACAUGUAAAUAAAAACAUAGGCACAAUCCACAAAGCAACAAAGUACACAAUGCGUUGCAACAACUGGCACCAACAAUGAUGUCUGCAAACUACCCUUUUCUGUGAAUAGUGAAUUUAUGGUUUGAGGAGAUAAUAAUCUGAGAGUAUGCAUAUUAAUUUUCAUAUUUUCUUUUUUGUUUAAUAAAUAUUUUUUGUCCAUUCUCUAUGAUGUUUUUUUUUCUUCCACUAUAAAUCAUAGUUCAAUUGACAGCAAUCUUAGGUUCAUGGUUCCUACAGCAAUAAGGAAUGGAAUAGAUGCUCAACAUCAAAUUAUUUAUUGAUAUAUCCUCUGAAUAAUACAAAUUCACAAUUAUUAACUGCAUAACUAUGAUAUCUUAUACAGGUUUAUUGUUGUUCACCAGCAGAUAUGGAACAGUGUAUGAUGUGUCCACAUGAUAAAUAUACCAACUUAGAGAAAACCCACUGCCUCCAAAGAGCUGUGUCAUUUCUUAUGAACAUCCAUUGGGGAUGGCUUUAGGUUGCAUUUCCCUGACCAGAUCUCUAGGCUUACAUAUAUCAUGUCCUUAAAAGUAGACAUUAAAAUUUAAAUAUAUAUUCUCACGUUAACUAUUCAAAGAAAGAUUUAGACCAAUAUUAUCAUUUCAAAUUUAUUUUACCUUUGGAGAUUUAUUGAUUAAAUAUAUUUGUUUUUUUUAUAUUAAUUUUUAAGUUUAGUUUAUUAUGAAUAAAAUUAACUUUGGCCAAUUUAACCAGUUUACUUUACUUAAAAUUUCUUUGGUAUUAAUUACAUGAUGUGAAUGACACACCAUGUGUAUAUUCUAAACCAUGUGUAUAUGUGUAUAUUUAUAAAAAGCAAAUAUUAAUAAACCAUAAAGUUGCAUUUAC